rnacentral:rRNA from 1 species
UACGGAGGGAGCUAGCGUUGUUCGGAAUUACUGGGCGUAAAGCGCACGUAGGCGGCUUUUUAAGUCAGGGGUGAAAUCCCGGGGCUCAACCCCGGAACUGCCCUUGAAACUGGAGAGCUAGAAUCUUGGAGAGGCGAGUGGAAUUCCGAGUGUAGAGGUGAAAUUCGUAGAUAUUCGGAAGAACACCAGUGGCGAAGGCGACUCGCUGGACAAGUAUUGACGCUGAGGUGGCGAAAGCGGUGGGGAGCAAACAGG